AGGGCACCACCAGGAGUGGAGCCUGCGGCUUAAUUUGACUCAACACGGGAAAUCUCACCAGGCCCGGACACUGGAAGGAUUGACAGAUUGAGAGCUCUUUCUUGAUUCGGUGGGUGGUGGUGCAUGGCCGUCCUUAGUUGGUGGAGCGAUUUGUCUGGUUAAUUCCGAUAACGAACGAGACUCUGGCCUACUAACUAGACGUUGGAUCCCUUUGUGGGUCCAUCGCAGCUUCUUAGAGGGACGGGCGGCGUUUAGCCGCACGAGAUUGAGCAAUAACAGGUCUGUGAUGCCCUUAGAUGUUCUGGGCUGCGCGCGCGCUACACUGAAGGAAUCAGCGUGUGUUCCCUAUCCGAAAGGAUUGGGAAACCCGUUGAACCUCCUUCGUGAUGGGGAUUGGGGAUUGCAAUUAUUCCCCAUGAACGAGGAAUUCCCAGUAGGCGCGAGUCAUAAGCUUGCGUCGAUUACGUCCCUGCCCUUUGUACACACCGCCCGUCGCUACUACCGAUCGAGUGAUUUAGU
rnacentral:rRNA from 1 species